UUCUUGAGUGUGUACUUGUUAAGCCUUUUAAGAAAAAAGUUAUUAACUUAAGGAAUUAUAACAAAGAAGCAACACGUAAAUGGAUUUUCCAUUUUUUAGUGUGUAUCAAUCGAGUUUCUGACCUAUCAGCUUUUGAUGUUAGGGUAUUGGCCUAACAUGGCUAUGACGGGUAACGGGGAAUUAGAGUUCGAUUCCGGAGAGGGAGCCUGAGAAAUAGCUACCACAUCUAAGGAAGGCAGCAGGCGCGUAAAUUACCCAAUUCUAAAGAAGAGAGGUAGUGACAAGAAAUAACAAUACAAGGCCAAUCUGGCUUUGUAAUUGGAAUGACGGGAAUUUAAAACCUUCCCAAAACUCAAUUGGAGGGCAAGUCUGGUGCCAGCAGCCGCGGUAAUUCCAGCUCCAAUAGCGUAUAUUAAAAUUGUUGCAGUUAAAACGCUCGUAGUUGAAUUUCAAAGAAUCGAUAUUUUAAGUAACGCUUUGUAGAUUAAUCCACAUAACUGAUACUACGUAUCGACUUUGUGCGCAUUUUUCUACUUAUGUGUUCUUUUAAUUAAAAUGAUUCUUUUUAAGAUCUUUCUUUUUUGCUUCGGCAUUUUAGGAGAUCUUGUUACUUUGAGUAAAUUAGAGUGUUCAAAGCAAACAGAUUAUAGCAUCUUUAUGCGUUUGAAUACUACAGCAUGGAAUAACAAAAUUGAACAAGUCAGAAUUUUGUUCUUUUUUCUUAUUUUGGCUUAGUUACGAUUAAUAGGAGUAGCUUGGGGGCAUUUGUAUUCAGAUGUCAGAGGUGAAAUUCUUAGAUUUUCUGGAGACAAACAACUGCGAAAGCAUUUGCCUAAAAUACUUCCAUUAAUCAAGAACGAAAGUUAAGGGAGUGAAGACGAUCAGAUACCGUCGUAAUCUUAACCAUAAACUAUGCCGACUAGGC
rnacentral:rRNA from 1 species